rnacentral:rRNA from 1 species
GACGAACGCUGGCGGCGUGCUUAACACAUGCAAGUCGAGCGGUAAGGCCCCUUCGGGGGUACACGAGCGGCGAACGGGUGAGUAACACGUGAGUAACCUGCCCCAUUCUUCGGAAUAACCAGUGGAAACGCUGGCUAAUGCCGAAUAUGACCAUCGAAGGCAUCUUCUGGUGGUGGAAAGCUCCGGCGGAGUGGGAUGGACUCGCGGCCUAUCAGCUUGUUGGUGAGGUAACGGCUCACCAAGGCGACGACGGGUAGCCGGCCUGAGAGGGUGACCGGCCACACUGGGACUGAGACACGGCCCAGACUCCUACGGGAGGCAGCAGUGGGGAAUAUUGGACAAUGGGCGAAAGCCUGAUCCAGCAACGCCGCGUGAGGGAUGACGGCCUUCGGGUUGUAAACCUCUUUCAGCAGGGACGAAGCGAAAGUGACGGUACCUGCAGAAGAAGGACCGGCCAACUACGUGCCAGCAGCCGCCGUAAGAC